GACGAACGCUGGCGGCGUGCUUAACACAUGCAAGUCGAACGGAAAGGCCCUGAUUUCUUGGGGUUCCCGAGUGGCGAACGGGUGAGUAACACGUGAGUAACCUGCCCUACACUUUGGGAUAACUUCAGGAAACUGGGGCUAAUCCAGGAUAGCAGCCCCUCUUCCAUGGUGGGGGUGGGAACGUUUCGGCGGUUGGGGAUGGAUUCGCGGCUUACCAGCUUGUUGGUGGGGGAGUGGCUUGCCAAGGCUUUGACCGGUCGCCGGCCUGAGAGGGGGACCGGCCACAUUGGGACUAAGAGACGGCCCAGACUGCUACGGGAGGCAGCAGUGGGGAAUAUUGCACAGUGGGCGGAAGCCUGAGGCAGCAGCGCCGCGUGUGGGAUGACGGCCUGCGGGGUGUAAACCGCUUUCGCCUGUGACGAAGCGGGAGUGACGGUAAUGGGUAAAGAAGCACCGGCUAACUACGUG
rnacentral:rRNA from 1 species